rnacentral:rRNA from 1 species
GUGGAUUAGAUACCCUGGUAGUCCACGCCCUAAACGAUGUCGACUGGUUGUUGGGGGUUUGACACUCUCAGUAACGAAGCUAACGCGUGAAGUCGACCGCCUGGGGAGUACGGCCGCAAGGUUAAAACUCAAAGGAAUUGACGGGGACCCGCACAAGCGGUGGAUUAUGUGGAUUAAUUCGAUGCAACGCGAAAAACCUUACCUACCCUUGACAUGUCCUGGAGCCUGGAGAGAUCCGGGUGUGCCCGAAAGGGAACGGGAACACAGGUGCUGCACGGCUGUCGACAACU